UCGAAAGAUGUGCUAAUACCGCAUAUUCUCUGAGGAGGAAAGUAGGGGAUCGAAAGACCUUAUGCUUUUGGAGCGGCCGAUGUCUGAUUAGCUAGUUGGUAAGGUAAUGGCUUACCAAGGCGACGAUCAGUAGUUGGUCUGAGAGGACGGCCAGCCACACUGGGACUGAGACACGGCCCAGACUCCUACGGGAGGCAGCAGUGGGGAAUUUUGGACAAUGGGCGCAAGCCUGAUCCAGCAAUGCCGCGUGAGUGAAGAAGGCCUUCGGGUUGUAAAGCUCUUUCAGUCGAGAAGAAAAGGUUAUGGCUAAUAACCAUGACUCAUGACGGUAUCGACAGAAGAAGCACCGGCUAACUACGUGCCAGCAGCCGCGGUAAUACGUAGGGUGCGAGCGUUAAUCGGAAUUACUGGGCGUAAAGGGUGCGCAGGCGGGGUGGUAAGUCAGAUGUGAAAUCCCCGGGCUUAACCUGGGAACUGC
rnacentral:rRNA from 1 species